UCCUACCUCCCCCUCUCAGGGUCUCAAAGCCUUCUCCAGAAAGCAGCGGAUACCUUCCAAAUUCCCACUACCUUGCUGUCUUCUGGGUUGGAACCUGGGCACCACCUCCUGCUGGCUGUGUGAUCCCCAGCAGCACCAAGAGCCUUGCCGGUCGGGUUGGUACUGCCAGUCGCAGGGGCCUGCAGGCUGGUGUGAGAUCUGAGAUGGGGCUCCAGCCCUGUGGCAUCCAGCUGUUCUGCCUCCAUCCUCAUUCCUUAUGGGGCGAUUUCUCCGAGUGGCAGGGCUGGCCACGGGUGAGCUCUGGUGUGUGCUGCCCAGGGUGCUGGCCACCAGCCGCGUGUGGUACCUUAUGGGACAACAGCGAUGCAUGGAGCAUUUCCUCCAUCACAGAAAGUUCUAGCGGAGGGUGCUGCUCUAGAUUUCUAUCCAGCUUCACUC